UACGUAGGGUGCAAGCGUUGUCCGGAAUUAUUGGGCGUAAAGAGCUCGUAGGCGGUUUGUCGCGUCGGGAGUGAAAACUCAGGGCUUAACCCUAAGCCUGCUUCCGAUACGGGCAGACUAGAGGUAUGCAGGGGAGAACGGAAUUCCUGGUGUAGCGGUGAAAUGCGCAGAUAUCAGGAGGAACACCGGUGGCGAAGGCGGUUCUCUGGGCAUUACCUGACGCUGAGGAGCGAAAGUGUGGGGAGCGAACAGG
rnacentral:rRNA from 1 species